ACAAAAAUAUCAUUAAAGUUGUUUUCUUCUCUUCACUUUUGCUUAGUAAAAUCCUUGCAACUGUCUUCACUUUUGCUUCGAAUCGGAACCGUAACAGUCUAUUUUUGUUGAAUUAAGCCCAGCGUACAGAGUGCUUUUCCAGGGCUUUUACAAGUAAUUUUUAAAAAGUCACUUAAUCACACAUGUGGCGAAGAAAACCAGCAGUUGAGGAAAAUGAAAUGCACUCCACCUUAGUUCCUCCUAAAAUAGCAAGCUCACUAUCCCCUUUCGUCCAAGCUAGAAAUCCAACAAAACACAAGCUCAUUAUCCCCUUUCGUUGAAGCUUGAAAUCCGGCCCGCCUGCUCAACUGUCGUCGCCGACCAACCAUCUUCUCCACCUCCAGCAUCAAUCGACGUGAGCUAUCUUGCACCCAUUUCGUAGAAUCAAGAAAUCCACAAAUUUGAACCGUAGCCGAAAUAUAUUCUCCGCCUCCAAGCCGUGACUUGUUGGUUAGUGCAUUAAGCUCAAUCUUUGUUAUAAAUACGCAUGGCUCAUUUGUCCAUUUUCAAUACUCAUGGCUGACAUAGAAAAAACAGCUUGAAUAUUAUAAAUCCUAAAGCUAGAAGGUAGACGAAGAAACAAAUCACAAAAUGAGAUUGCAAAGUCUAAGUGAUUUAUGUUUUUCAACUUAGAAACCAAGUGUAACGUGAAAAAUAAUAACCAAAUUACAAACUACAUGUUUUUAUCAUAUUAUCCGGUGUCAAUUUGUUGUCCCUAAUAUAACCUAUGUUAGUAUCUUGAAUAAAUUAAAUUUUGUCGUGAUGCUAACAAUUGAAUUACUUUUAAUAUGCUGAACCCUCAACGGCCCAACCUCUUUCUUUGUCUGCAGUAAUCUCUAUCAUUGUGUUUGUUAUUUGCCCAUUUUCAUAUGAAGGUAUUAGAUAUUGUCAUGUAGAAUAGGUAAUCUGAUUAAAUGUUGUGAUUGUUUUGUUCUCAAUUUGUCACUACAGGGCAAAUUUGUGUAGUGGUUUAAUAUGUAGAUAGAAACAUGAAUUUAUUUUUGAUGUGUUUAUGGUAGUGUAAUUGAUUUAUGUAACAUAACGUUACCAAUUAUUUCAUCGCAGGUUGUUUGUUACGCAAGACGUGCAUAAUAAUUUUGUUGCUGACUCUAAAAAUGAGAAUGCUGUUCAAAAUACAAAUAUAACGGGAGAAGAAGGGUUAGGAGAUGAGGGCUCGAUUGUGCCUGAGGUGGGUAUAUAGUUCACGGAUGAAAAAGCAAUGUUCGAGUUCUAUAAAAGAUAUACAUACGACAUAGGUUUUCCAGUUCGGAAGAGAAAUUCGAAAAAAUGGGAGGAUGGAGUUCUAAGAUAUAUGACCUUUACAUGUAGUCGUGAAGGUUGAAGAAGCACUAAUGUCGUUGGUUCAUUGAAGCCUCAACAAACAAUGCAGAUGGAUUGUAAAGCCAGGAUCUCUACUUCUUCAGAUGAUAAGGAACUUGGAGGAUCAACACAGCCCACCUCGAGCACAAUCAUACAACAAGCCCUUCAAAGUCUAGGUUUUACCGUUACAAUCGAAAAUUGUCAGCAUAUGUGAAAAGAAAGCUUGGAGUGAAUGACAUGGCCGGAAUUUCGCUGCUUUAAAGUUUCAAUUCCGUAGUCGUUGAAACUAGUAGAUAUGAGAAUUUGCCUUGUGUGGAAAAGGAUUGCUGGAAUUAUAUUGAGUAAGUGAGAUGAUUACGACUCAAAGAGGGUGAUGCAACCACAAUGCAAUCUUACUUAUCGAAAAUGCAAGUACGAUGUCCUGAAUUUUACUUCAGUAUGGAUUUAGAUGAUGAGUCGCAACUGAAGAACAUAUUUUGGGCUGAUAAUAGAUGCAGGCAGGCUUGUAAGGACUUCGACGAUGUUGUCACCUUUGACACCACUUAUCUUACCAAUAAAUACGACAUGCCUUUUGCUCCUUUUGUUGGAGUUAACCAUCAUGGUCAAUCAACACUGUUGGAUUGUGGUCUGUUAUCAAACAAGGACACAGAUACAUUUGUUUGGCUAUUCAGUACAUGGCUUGAGGGCAUGCAUGGUCAAGCCCCCAUGGAAUCAUUACAGACCAAGACAGGGCUAUGCAAAAUGGAAUUAAAAUCAUUUUUUCGAACACCAAUCAUAGAUGAUGUUUAUCGCACAUUUUGAAGAAAUUGCCGGAGAAGUUUGGGUAUCAUGUUGAUAAGGGAAACAUAUUUUCGGCUAUACAUAGAUUGAUGUAUGAUUCACAGACUGAUGAAGAAUUUGAAGAAGGUUGGGCAUUGAUGGUUGAUAAGUGUAUUUUAUACACUUAUUUGAUGCCUAAAAUAAUGAUGUUUAAUAGUUCUUUUGACAAAAUAUAUCCUAAAUUGUUAUAUUUUAUGUUUAAUAGGUAAAAUCUAGGGAUGGAAAAAGGAAUUGAAGGAAAGAAGCAAAA
rnacentral:lncRNA from 1 species